GUGAAUCAUCAAAUUUUUGAACGCAAAUUGCGCCUUUUUCGGAAAUCAUUUCUGUUUGAGUGCACCGUUUAACAAAUAAUGUGCAUUUCGUGUGCACACGUUUAUGUGCUUUCCAAAAUUAUGUAUUAUUAUUUUUGGUUGCGCAUAAUAAACAGCGCUAUGCUUUUUUUCAGUUCGAGUGUAUUAAAAUUUUUUCUUUCUUGGGGUGUGAAAAGCGUGAUCGCGCAAUGGGUGUGGCGAUUUUACUAAGCCUGCCCCAACGCCACUCUUUCUCGCGAAAGAA
rnacentral:misc_RNA from 1 species